GUUGUCAUUAAAAUCAUAACUUUUUAAAGGGUUCUAUUUCAACAAUAUUUAGGUUAGGAAGACAAACCUAAGUAAUUAAUUAGACCCAAGUAAUGUUUGGUGCCAACUUGAAUCGUUACAUGGACAAGCUGAGAAAAUGUGGAAGAUAUGAGGGGGUUCGAACAUUAAGUAGCAUGGCUUUGUUGAUAGUGAUGUUGGCUUAUUUGUGUACAUAAACCUGCAAGGUGAUCUAUAAGUGGUGCAUGACUUCAUGGGUAAGAGCUUGGCAUGCAUGUCUGUAAUGUCAACAACAUCAAAGGUGAGGAAGUGGCCAAGAAUAGAAUGAAGGAACUAACUAAGGGGGGCCUGUGAGCCACACUAUAUGAUCUUUCCAUGGGCCUUUGAGACAAUUGCCUUCUUUCCAACAUCGGUCAAGCUCAAGCUAAGGCGCGUCUAAGGUGGGAGAGCCUUUGAAGUCACUUAUCGUGCGAAAGUAAGUUGGUGCAUUUGAUGUAGGAUUUUUUUGAGAUAUUUUAGGGAGUAUUGUGGGCAUGCGACAUGUCUACAUUGGAGUAAUUUUCUUUUAAAAUCAAGCGACAUUGCGUUCCUCUUGAUCUUCCUUUCCGUCUCGACCUUAAUCGUGCCCACCAUCUCCGCCACCACGUUCCUCUAGCAUUCCGUCUUCACCUUGUACAAAUCAUCCUUGUUGUCCUCCUUCGACCAUUGCACGUUGUCACGAUAAAUGAUUGCCGCCAACCUUUCCCUUUCUUUCUCUUUUCUUCAUUUUUUCCUUUUUUUUAGAUUUGGAGAUUCCACGAUCCUUAUCCAGAUCCAAAUCCUAACAACCAAACAUGGAAACAACCUACAAUUCCAUCCUAAGACAAAAGCUUGCUCAAAGGGGGUAACAAUAGAACAACAAAUAAUAGCAACAUUGAACCAAAGAAACUAACACACAACUACUGAAAGGCUCGUCGGGAACCACCGCCACUAUUGCCUCUUUAGCCAUUGACAAUGUUUCUUCUUCCGCCAUCAACAGAGGAAUGAUACAUAAUGUUCCAUUUGUCACAAGCAUUGCCCUUAUGAUGUCAGAAGCAACCACAAG
rnacentral:lncRNA from 1 species